ensembl:lncRNA
UUUUUUUUUUUUUGUUUCCCAGUGCAUGUAACAGUUACAUUGAAGGUGGCCAUUGAGACCUGAGAGCUCACAGGAAAUAGAGUUGGUACAUCUGUACGUCUGUGUUUCUGUAAACAAAAGUUCCUUGGCACAGUGCUUAGACUAUGGACAGCAUUUUGAGGGUGCCAGUCCUAACUCUAAGUGUAUGAUACAAGUCAGUUAGUCAACCUUUAUAAGCAGGUAGGGUGCAAUGGACUGAGGGUGAAGCUCUGGUCUGGGCCUAGGGUGUCAGUGCAGGGAUGGAAAGACAUAUCCAGGGAGGUGACUGGAGGGGUUAGUUUGUCAGACAGGGACUAGCCUUAGGAUGCCAGUUUCCUGGAAAAACAACAGAGGAACUCAGACAUGAUUCACAAGCCUGGGGCCGUGACAUCUGAAAAGGCCAAGCAGAGACUGGUGUGGCCCAGUGAAGGUAGGUUUGAUGGCUGUGGAUGCAGCCACAGGGGAGUCCCUUAAUCCCUCUUACAGGUCACUGAGGAGAACUGCAGUAAGGCGUUUCAAGUAGUCACUUAAUGAAGACUGCUCUGAGCAGGUCACCCUGCCAUUAGCAUGGACAUGGAAGGUGGGGUGGGUCAGUGACUGGGCCUCCCUGAGGAAGGCUGUUGCAUGGGAAACUUUGUUUAGAGACAUCCUGGGAAUUUUUCUUGCCAGUUUUUCAUCAUUCCCUGUUGGCCUCUGUUGGGGCAGAGGUCACACAUAUCUGAGGUAGUGCAAUAUGCAAGAAUGGUCUACAAAAGCAGUAUUAUUCUCCAUCCCAUACAGCUUCCAAAACUUCUUGACGUUAGCAAUUUCUUGUGGGAGGAAAAUUCACUCAUAAUUAGCUAUCCAUGGUCCUAACUCAUGAUUUUCUGUGGUUUUAAGAGAAUGCCAGGCUUGGUUGUCUAUAUAAAGCACAUGGACUUUAUGAAAGGACACAUGAGGUUAGAAUGAGAGCUCUGCUACUCACCAACCACAUCACCUCAGACAAGGAGCUUGCCUGCUCUGUUCCACCAGGGAAACAGUAAAACCCUUUAUGAAUGCAGCAAAUAAUAAGCCUGUUAGUGGAUCACCAGCAUCUUGAACACAGGUGAACGUGUACGCCAUCUGAGUAAUGAUGAAAAGAAUGUUACCUCCUGGACCGUACCUUUGUGAGUUUGAAUCCCAAUUGCCUUGUAUGAAAUGGGUGAACCAAAGUGCUGGUGGUUUCUUUUUUAUUUUUAAGCCUCCUUGUUAAACCAUAAGACACAAAAACAGUGAAUAGUAUUGGGAUAUUUUGGCUGUUUAGCACCUGCUAAAUAAAUGUGCAUUUUAGGUUUAAUGAGUUUGAUGCCUCUUGUUCUCUUGAGACCAACAGUAGGUUACGGAAGGAACCUCAUUAGACACGAAUAUGGAUGAGAUGCAGUAUAUUAAUGUCUGCUGACUCACAGGUUCUCCUAGUAUACUAGGCAGUCCUCUGAUCUAGAAGCAUGACAUUAUUGUAGGCAUUUGUGCUUGCUGAUCUUUCCCAUUGGACAACUGAAUGACAGUUCUGAGGGAUAGUUCUUGGUCAUUCCCUGCAGUAAAACUGUUAGUUUUUGCUGGAAAGUCUUAAAGUAAUUAUGCAACUUGUAUGUAACAAUAAUUUCAUCACACAAUAUUUCACUUUAUCUAAAUCCACACUAUUUUAAGAAUAUUUGACUUUCAGGACCUAUCAGCACAGAGAUAUGGAUGACAUUACAUUUUCUGCAGAGAGUUUGCCACACGCUAGCCCACAGACAUACACACGCACAGGCAUAUACCCACACUCACAUCAGGAGCUCUGCGGAACACAGAGAAUCUGAGCUGGAAAGAGGCUGAAAACUCCUUUAUUCUAAGCUUCUUUUUUUUCCAACUGAGAGGUGAAAGAUGAAGUGAUCAGCCAAGCUCCCACAAAAAUUAAUGGUAGAUUUGGAAUUGAUCACUCAUACCUUUCCCUUCAAGGUUCUAUAUGGAUUAAGUGGAAAUAAAAAGCAAGGUGGGCCUCUAGGUGUUAUGGAAUGAAUUGCAUCUCCCCAAAAUUCAUGUGUGACGCCAUAACCCUUAGUAGCUCCUACAGCGACUGUGUUUGAAGAUGGGGCUUUUAAAGAGGUAAUUAAGUUAAAAUGAAGCUUUUAGUUUGGGCCCUAAUCGAGUUUGAUUGGUGUCCUCACACACAAGAGACACCCAGGAUGGGAACAUGCACAGAGGAGUGACCAUGUGAGGACACAGUGAGAAGCCAACAGAAUAUUAAUAUUCUGUCCCUCUAGAGAACCCUGUCUAAUACACCUUGGAUUUCUUGUUUCUAGAACUGUGAGAAAAUACGUUUCUCUU